GUGGGGAAUAUUGGGCAAUGGGCGAAAGCCUGACCCAGCAACGCCGCGUGAAGGAAGAAGGCCUUCGGGUUGUAAACUUCUUUUAUCAGGGACGAAGGAAGUGACGGUACCUGAUGAAUAAGCCACGGCUAACUACGUGCCAGCAGCCGCGGUAAUACGUAGGUGGCGAGCGUUGUCCGGAUUUACUGGGUGUAAAGGGCGCGCAGGCGGGAGAGCAAGUCAGAUGUGAAAUCUAUGGGCUUAACCCAUAAACUGCAUUUGAAACUGUUUUUCUUGAGUGAUGGAGAGGCAAGCGGAAUUCCUAGUGUAGCGGUGAAAUGCGUAGAUAUUAGGAGGAACACCAGUGGCGAAGGCGGCUUGCUGGACAUUAACUGACGCUGAGGCGCGAAAGCGUGGGGAGCAAACAGGA
rnacentral:rRNA from 1 species